AUGGAGCCGGCCACCAAGAACGAUCUGAAGGACCUGAUGAAGGAACUUCUCAAGGAGCUCAAGGAAGACAUCAAGGAGGCUGUCGCGGAGGCGUUCGGCAACUCGAAGCCGGCGCUCGAGCAUGCGUCCACGCCGGCUGCUUCGCAGUUGCUCCCUACCGACGCACCUGCUUCGCCCACGACCACCGUCGACGUCGUCCCCGUGCUCCCUACCUCGUCUGCAAGCGCCAAGCCCGUAGACAUUGACGCCACGGGCAUCGCUGCACCGACGCCCACGACCUGCUCGACGGAUGGCCAUGGCAACGACACUGGUGGGGACGGCUUCAUGGGCGUGUCCGUGUUGGUGCGGGACACAAUUCACCCAUCCUCUGCAUCCCCGGAGGCCUCACCGACCCUGCCAUGCCAGUUGUUUAUCGCCAUCAAGCUUGACACCAAGUACAUCAACUCCUAUGCAGAACCACCACCACGGCUACAAGGAUUGAUAUCAACUAGUCUGUGCAUGAUGAGGGAGUGUAAAUGGCUGUUAUAUGCGCCAUCUCGGCCGCCGGAUCCGUUGUACUCUACUCGAAGACGACUUUCUCCUUGGCAUUCACUUCUACCUGCCCCAGCUCCGAAGCCACCGUGGCUGCUACCUGGACGUGACCUCACAGGAGAAUCUUAUAGCCACAGGCUACCAAGCCGGCGAGGCCUUGUCGUAUGUGAGUUGAUAAUUUGCAAUGGAUUCUCAGAAAAAACUACAGCAACAAAAUCUAAGGUGAUUCAGAGUAAUCUCUCCAGCUCUCCUAAUAGCAUCAAUGUGAAUGGUCUGUUCAAUGUCUAUGUGAUGUGGUGCAUAGAUCGUGGGUUAUUAAGGAUUAAGAAAUGGAGGUUAGAUAUUCAUUGUUCACGGCUUAUUAGUGGAAGUUUUGAAGCUUCUUUUUGGCCUGAGCAACACAUCACUGGGAAUUAUUUGCAAGUCCUAGUUACAGGCUCACUAUUGCAAUUGUUUUUGUCUGGCUCUACACCCAUAUCCCUUUUGGAAGAUAUCCUAGUACUGUCCUGCAGAUCAAUUGGACUGUCAGUUGAGGAAUUAUCUGAGGCAACUUACUCUCGUGCUAUUUCGUUGUAUGUUGCAUAUCGACAAUGGAUAAUAUCCUGGUUAGAGGGGAGUUUUUGGUUAACUAAGACAUGCUCUUCCUUACAAGAGGAGCGAAUCACCUAUUCCUGUGCAAAGAUUGUCACAACUCAGCUAUUGGUUUCUGCUAAAACUGAAUGUUUGGAUUCCCUGUUGCUUAUUCAUGCAUAUCUUGGAGGGGUUUGUGGGCUCAAAUGGGACAUUCACAUUACACUUGUGCAUGCAACUAAGUGGUCUAGUAGCUUGCACUCUGAGAAGUUAUAUAAUCCAAGUUCCUUUUGA
rnacentral:rRNA from 1 species